rfam:Brassica napus, WGS project CCCW01000000 data, contig: 17202
AAACCAUGAUGCGGGCAUUGAGCCCAAUAGCCCUUGAACCUCUCCCAUGCUUCACUGAAACUCUCUAGACCUUUCUGUUGAAACCCAGAGAUUUCGUUCCUGAUCUU